GUGCUUGCUUCAGCAGCACAUAUAUGAAAAUUGGAACAAUACAGAGAAAAUUAACAUGGUCCCUGAGCAAGGAUGACAGGUAAAUUCGUGAAGCAUUCCAUAUUUAA
rnacentral:snRNA from 1 species